rnacentral:lncRNA from 1 species
GUGUUACAUUUUUCCUUGACUCAUUCUGUGAUAGUUUCAUAUUGAUUGUGUCACCAAUAAAUGAUCGAUAUAUAAUGACUUAAGUAGUCUACUACUAACAACUUGAGCUUAAGCAUUUUGAGCCAUAUGGUUCGGGUCUGAAUAAGUUGUAGGGUCAAUAGACUGCUUGGGGCGUUGCAAAAUAGUAUUAGAGCCAUUCCCGAAGAUACUGUUGUGUGGGGCCAUGCUGAAACAUAUUGUACAUCCCGAUGAUGUAUCCUUGAUACGAUGGGAGAGGAUGACCACC